UACGUAGGGUCCAAGCGUUAUCCGGAAUCACUGGGCGUAAAGCGUGCGUAGGCGGGAGUCUAAGUGAGAAAUUAAAUCGUGUGGCUCAACCAUAUCGAUGUUUCUCAUACUGGGCACCUAGAGGAAGGCAGAGGCAAGUGGAAUUUGUAGUGUAGCAGUGAAAUGCGUAGAUAUUACAAGGAACACCAAUGGCGAAGGCAGCUUGCUGGGCCUUUUCUGACGCUGAGGUACGAAAGCGUGGGGAGCGAACAGG
rnacentral:rRNA from 1 species